AUGGCGGACCGCGGCGGCGAGCGUGGUGUCGGCGAGCGCGGCGGCGACCGCGGCGGCUUCGGGCGCGGCUUCGGCCGCGGCGGGCGCGGGGACCGUGGCGGGCGCCGCGGCGGCCGCCGUGGCCCCCGCCAGGAGGAGGAGAAGUGGGUGCCCGUCACCAAGCUCGGCCGCCUCGUCAAGGAGGGCCGCUUCACCAAGAUGGAGGAGAUCUACCUCCACUCGCUCCCCGUCAAGGAGCACCAGAUCGUGGAGACGCUCUGCCCGGGGCUCAAGGACGAGGUGAUGAAGAUCACCCCGGUCCAGAAGCAGACCCGCGCCGGACAGCGCACCCGCUUCAAGGCCUUCGUCGUCGUCGGCGACAGCAACGGCCACGUCGGCCUCGGCGUCAAGUGCGCCAAGGAGGUGGCCACGGCCAUCCGCGGCGCCAUCAUCCUCGCCAAGCUCUCAAUCGUGCCCGUCAGGCGGGGCUACUGGGGGAACAAGAUCGGCCAGCCCCACACCGUGCCCUGCAAGGUCACCGGCAAGUGCGGCUCCGUCACCGUGCGCAUGGUGCCCGCCCCCAGGGGUUCUGGAAUCGUCGCCGCCCGCGUCCCCAAGAAGGUGCUGCAGUUCGCCGGGAUCGAUGAUGUCUUCACUUCCUCGCGUGGAUCCACCAAGACCCUUGGCAACUUCGUCAAGGCAACCUUCGACUGCCUGAUGAAGACCUAUGGAUUCCUCACCCCUGACUUCUGGAGGGAGACAACCUUCACCAAGGCGCCGUACCAGGAGUUCACCGACAUCUUGGCGAAGCCGACCAAGGCCCUGAUGCUUGAUGCACCAGCCGAGAAGAUAGAAGCUUAG
rnacentral:rRNA from 1 species